rnacentral:rRNA from 1 species
AUUGAACGCUGGCGGCAGGCCUAACACAUGCAAGUCGAGCGGAUGAAGGGAGCUUGCUCCUGGAUUCAGCGGCGGACGGGUGAGUAAUGCCUAGGAAUCUGCCUGGUAGUGGGGGAUAACGUCCGGAAACGGGCGCUAAUACCGCAUACGUCCUGAGGGAGAAAGUGGGGGAUCUUCGGACCUCACGCUAUCCAAUGAGCCUAGGUCGGAUUAGCUAGUUGGUGGGGUAAAGGCCUACCAAGGCGACGAUCCGUAACUGGUCUGAGAGGAUGAUCAGUCACACUGGAACUGAGACACGGUCCAGACUCCUACGGGAGGCAGCAGUGGGGAAUAUUGGACAAUGGGCGAAAGCCUGAUCCAGCCAUGCCGCGUGUGUGAAGAAGGUCUUCGGAUUGUAAAGCACUUUAAGUUGGGAGGAAGGGCAGUAAGUUAAUACCUUGCUGUUUUGACGUUACCAACAGAAUAAGCACCGGCUAACUUCGUG